AUCUGUUUAUCUUUUCGCUAGAGUGUGAUACAGGUCUAAUCCCACAUCGCCCCCAUGUUGUACUAUAGUCUGGCCCCAGACCACUCCCUUGCACGUGAUCUGACAUUCUCUGGAUACCUCCCUCCAUCAUUGUCAGCAUCAUAAUUACAAAAAUUGGAGGAAUUUCUCUAAAGCUGCUGACAAACAGGAGAUAGAACAGUGCCUACUGAACGUGGAAGACAAAUUCAGACCAGAUGGACACCAUCACCCUAACAUUGAUGUUUUCAAAGCCAAGAAAGUGCUGCAAAAACUACACUCUAUAGCUGAAUCCAUAUACGAUGGCUCCUCCAUAUUGGGUGGUCUACUACCUUCCUGCAAGGGAAAUUCCCUCCCCAGAGAACAUCACGUUGUCGAAAUACCGUGACGGAGUUUGCAAUCCAGAGAGGGGCCGGACCCUGAAAAAGAUGAUAUACACUUGUUUGUGAAGAGCGGAGAGGUCAAAGGUCGGUCAGAGAAUAGAUAUCGUGCACAAGACAGUAUUACUUUUUUGAGUAGCCUAUCGAUUAGUGUACAUGUAGUUAGGGUGCAUGUGGAUUUUGUGGAUUUUAAUGAUUUUUAAUUAUACAUAAUUAACGUUUUACUUGCAAUUUUUAUAGCUAAAUAACUGUUUUUGUAGUGAACUCCUACUAUAGUCAUGAGAGCCAAGCUUCAAA